CUGGAGCAAUGUAGCCGUAAGAACCAGCAACUGUAUUGGAGGAACGACCAAAAUCACCAUCAUCGACUAGUUUUGCGAGGCCAAAGUCUGCAAUGUAAGGCUCAAACUCCAGACCAAUGAGAAUGUUGUUGGCCUUGAUGUCUCUGUGAACAAUUGGAGGAGCACAGUCAUGGUGCAAGUAGGCGAGCCCUUGUGCUGCCCCGAGCAAUAUUUGGUAUCUCAAUUCCCAUUCCAAAGGGUUACCGCUUCUCUCAUGGAGAAGACUUCCUAAGCUCCCAUUAGGCAUGUAAUCAUACAUGAGCAAUCUUGUGCUUCUGUUCCAACAACACCCCAAGAAUCGGACAAUGUUCUUGUGUCGAAUUGAACCGAGUGUCUUAACUUCUGCAGAGAAUGAAUCACGUACCCCACAUUUCUCAUCAUUGCCUCCAUUUGUUGUAGUCAUGGUUAUUGGCCAAAGCUUCUUCACUGCUAUGACAUCACCAUUGUUCAUAUCUGCACGAUAAACCAUCCCCGAGCACCCUUUUCCAAUGACAUUAGUAUCCACAAGGCAUCUGAGUAUUUCGUCCACUGAAAAAUUGAGCUUCUGGAAUGGAGUAAACUGCCAAGCCCAAGAAUCUCCCAUCUCUGAAUCAUCAUCCCUUCUCAUCGCCCUUCGUGCGCGUAUGAUAGCAAUAGUUCCCAUAAUCACCAUUGCUAUUGUCAUGAUGACUAGCAAUGCAAUGGCUAAUUUGAGCUUCUUUGACCUUCCCUCAUCAUUUUCGUUUUUAGCUACUCCUACUCCAUCGAUAUUGCUGAGGAAACACGAAGGCCUUCCGAAUGAACAUAGACCUUCAUUUCCAUCUAGGUCUGAUGAUGGCAACUGUCGAAAGAGCUUAUUGUCCGGAAGAUAACCAGUGAAGUUGUUGUAUGAGACAUUCAGUGAGACAAGAUUAUCGAGCCUCGCUAGUGGAUUCAAGUUCCCUUCAAGGUUGUUGUGCGAAAGGUCAAGUAUCGACAGCUUGCUUAGUGAAGAAAUUUCAGCAGGAAUUGGACCUGUUAGUUCAUUUAAACUAAGGUUGAGAGUGAUUUCAAGGGACUCAAUCUUUCCUAACUGCAUCGGUAUGCCUCCCGAGAGCUUAUUGCUGCUAAGAUCAAGCAAUUGAAGACUCGAACACAUGCCAAUAGAUGGAGGUAUAGACCCUGAGAACGAAUUCUUACUGAGAAUCAGCUUAUUCAACGACACAAGACGCCCAAAACUAGCCGGUAUAGGCCCUGCAAACCGGUUAUUUGAAACGUCCAAGACUUGAAUCCCUGAUAGUGAAGACAGAGUGUUAGGCAGGGGACCUUCCAGUGUAUUGCUGCUGAGGUCUACCAUUUGUAGCUCAGUACAGCUACUUAUCUCAUCAGGAACUGGUCCAGAAAGGCGAUUCCCGGACAAAUCAAGAAAGUUUAAGCUCUUAAGACCUCCAAUUUCUUUCGGUAUUCCACC
rnacentral:lncRNA from 1 species